UGGAAAGUGUGAGUCUCCAAGCACGUUGC
rnacentral:piRNA from 1 species